GGAAUUUUGGACAAUGGGCGAAAGCCUGAUCCAGCAAUGCCGCGUGCAGGAUGAAGGCCUUCGGGUUGUAAACUGCUUUUGUACGGAACGAAAAAGCUCCUUCUAAUACAGGGGGCCCAUGACGGUACCGUAAGAAUAAGCACCGGCUAACUACGUGCCAGCAGCCGCGGUAAUACGUAGGGUGCGAGCGUUAAUCGGAAUUACUGGGCGUAAAGCGUGCGCAGGCGGUUAUGUAAGACAGAUGUGAAAUCCCCGGGCUCAACCUGGGAACUGCAUUUGUGACUGCAUGGCUAGAGUACGGUAGAGGGGGAUGGAAUUCCGCGUGUAGCAGUGAAAUGCGUAGAUAUGCGGAGGAACACCGAUGGCGAAGGCAAUCCCCUGGACCUGUACUGACGCUCAUGCACGAAAGCGUGGGGAGCAAACAGGAUUAGAUACCCUGGUAGUCCACGCCCUAAACGAUGUCAACUGGUUGUUGGGAAUUAGUUUUCUCAGUAACGAAGCUAACGCGUGAAGUUGACCGCCUGGGGAGUACGGCCGCAAGGUUGAAACUCA
rnacentral:rRNA from 1 species